CUGAAAUUGCCUUGAAGCUUGACUUCUUCCUCUGACUGAUUCGCCCCUCUUCUUCCUCAUCCACAGCCACUGACCCCAGGAGACCUUCUUAACAAACUUCCUCCUCUCUGCUUUCUGCUUCAGAGUCUACUGCUCAAAGAAACCAUCCUGGGACAGGAUGGACCUCCCCCCCAACCCCAAUCUGCAUUCAGAUGUUGAAGCUGAUGACACAUCACCCACCAAGAGAAUCUGACAGAAGGUCCUCAUACCAGGGACACCUGGGGAAAUCAGUUUGUGCAAACAGGUAAGAGGUGGCUUGGGCAAAGCAGAGGGGAUGGGUUUAUAGCUAUUAAAAUGUGUAACCAGGGGAAUGUUCUGACACCCAGUCAGGAGGUGUGUGAGAUUUAAAUUUCCCACCUGCUCCAAAGGAGGUGUGUGCUGGCUCUUGCAUCAGCUUGUCCAGAGUGGGGCCAAAGGGAAAAAAGACUAAGAGUUAAAAAGAAGUCAACAAGCAUCAUAAAUGUGGUCAUCUGUAAAAU